GUGGCUGUGGCUCAGCGGUAGAGCACUUGCCUUGCAUGUGCGAGACCCUGGGUUCGAUUCUCAGCACACAUA
rnacentral:tRNA from 1 species